rnacentral:rRNA from 1 species
CAAUAGCGUAUAUUAAAGUUGUUGCGGUUAAAAAGCUCGUAGUUGGAUUUCUGUUGAGGACGACCGGUCCGCACUAUGUGCGUGUAUCUGGUUCGGCCUUGGCAUCCUUCUGGGGAACGGUGCUGCGCUUGAUUGCGUGGUCCGGUAUUCAGAACUUUUACUUUGAGGAAAUUAGAGUGUUUACGGCAGGCAAUCGCCUUGAAUACAUUAGCAUGGAAUAAUACUAUAGGACCUUGGUUCUAUUUUGUUGGUUUCUAGAACUAAGGUAAUGAUUAAUAGGGAUAAUUGGGGGCAUUCGUAUUAACACGUCAGAGGUGAAAUUCUUGGAUUGUGUUACGACGAACUACUGCGAAAGCAUUUGCCAAGGAUGUUUUCAUUGA